rnacentral:rRNA from 1 species
AGUGAACGCUGGCGGUAGGCCUAACACAUGCGAGUCGAACGGCAGCACAGUAAGAGCUUGCUCUUACGGGUGGCGAGUGGCGGACGGGUGAGGAAUACAUCGGAAUCUACUUUUUCGUGGGGGAUAACGUAGGGAAACUUACGCUAAUACCGCAUACGACCUACGGGUGAAAGCAGGGGAUCUUCGGACCUUGCGCGAUUGAAUGAGCCGAUGUCGGAUUAGCUAGUUGGCGGGGUAAAGGCCCACCAAGGCGACGAUCCGUAGCUGGUCUGAGAGGAUGAUCAGCCACACUGGAACUGAGACACGGUCCCGACUCCUACGGGAGGCAGCCGUGGGGAAUCUUGGACCAUGGGCGCAAGCCUGAUCCAGCCAUACCGCGUGGGUGAAGAAGGCCUUCGGGUUGUAAAGCCCUUUUGUUGGGAAAGAAAAGCAGCAGGUUAAUACCCCGCUGUUCUGACGGUACCCAAAGAAUAAGCACCGGCUAACUUCGUG